AGUUACUGAUGGUGUAAUCUGUCUCGUUGAGCCUUCUGCCAUAACAGACCUCCAUGCUGUUGAGGAUGAUGAAGAAACCUUAUCAGCUGCCACAGAGAGGGAAGAUGCAGAGAGGCCUGCUGAAAGCCAUGCUGGAAAUUACAAUGGGGAAGAAGGUCCAUCAACCUCCACAGCACAGCUUACCUCACUCCCUGUGAAACAACUUUACAAGGUAUAUUUAGAAUCUCAAAUAAACAAAUCACACCUAGAAAUGGAGCACAUAAGGCUGCAGAUCACCAAAACAGAAAAGGAAAUACAACUGCUGGACCAUCAGUUAAAGGUGGGUGACGUGCCCA